CUUACAAGGCCGUUGGGUCUCUGGAUCCCAGUGCUGACCUGUCCAGCCAAAGAGGGAAAGUCUUCAAACUAAGGAAUGAAACGCAUCACCUCUUUGUAGGAUUGUACCCAGGGACAACGUAUUCAUUCACCAUCAAGGCCAGCACAGUGAAGGGCUUUGGGCCACCCAUCACAACACGGAUUGCAACUAAGAUUUCAGCACCAUCAAUGCCAGAGUACGACACGGACUCGCCCUUGAACGAGACAGACACCACCAUCACUGUCAUGCUGAAGCCUGCUCAGUCCCGGGGAGCCCCUGUCAGGUCAUUUGUUCCAAAUCUGGAUCAAGCCAGGCUCCUCGCAUCUCAGUGUUACAAGUCAGCUGCUGCCCCCAGCUUGUUGCAGAGAGAGGAGGUGAUGGAGGUUGGCGGAGUCCCUCUGGUUUAGUGGGAUGCCACCAGCUGUAGGUGGGCAGUUUCCAUUUCCAGAGCGGAGGACUCAGGGGAAGGAAGCUAUAUGGAUGGAACUUGUGAAACAGGAUGAUGGCCUUGUAGAAAACAUCUGUGACUAAUUUUGUGACUAAUCCUGGGCUGGAUCGCAUUCUUACUGGCUCUCCAGGACUGAAAUGGGGCACCUAGCUGCAGAUCUCUCUCUGGCUGCUGAAACGUGACUUAGAGGCCUGUACUCCACUGCUGUCUUUUGCUUUGGUAAACGUGCACGUGUUGAAAGGCAUCAGCACAAGAGAACAAACUGCCUCUCAGAGACAGCGCUGCCUUACCUGAAGCUGGCAGGAAUGCCAGGCACUCCUCCAUCCUCCGUUCUCUUCAGCUGAGCAUGUAAAUUAAACUGCUUAUGAUAAAAUUAGCUGUAGUUUACCUAGGAGGAUCUGGGCUGCUCUGUAAAAUACCCAGCAGCCGUUACCUUCCUGUAGGCUCUUUAGGAUUUCCCUUGAGUUUUCACAAGACACUUCUUUUUUUCCUCUGAGUGGUAUUUUAAAAACAAAUAAUUGCUUCUCUCAGAAGUGUAUGGGCUUUGUACAUCCCACGGAUGAGUUCCUAGUGCUUUUUGAAGGCGUCUCACUAAGUGUUCAGGAGCAGAUUACUCACGUGUAAACUUGUUUAAUUUAAUGAAGUAUCCUACCCCAAUUAGUGCUCCAUCUCUGUCACAGCUUUUUCCCAAGUUGCAUUGUUAGUUUAAAGCAAAAUAGCUAUUUUUUAAAAACUGAGCACCACCCCCUUUCUAGUUGUUCUGAGAAGCAGGCUUCAACAUUUCCCUUUUAAUCCCUGGUACUCCAUAUGAACGAAUUUAGGAGCCUAUUUUCUGAGUCCUUUAGGGAUAUUGUUGUGCUGGAAAAUGGCAGUAAAAUCACAGAGCUCUGCUUUGUUUUAUUUCUUUAUAUGGGGGAACGUUCCUGUAUCUCGUUUUACCACCUGCUGUCUUAAGAGUGUUGCUAUUUCGUCUUUUUAUUGAAAGUCUUGCGAUUUUUCUUGAAGCCAAUUUGCUAUACUUCAACCUCUUUUAGAGAACAGUGUC